AUGGGUGGGGAAGCUGGGUAAAGGGCGCUCCAGUAGCAUGGAGCAGCUUAGCUUCCAGCCCCGGGGUGUCCCCCCGGCCUUUCCUGCCCCCAGCUCCAGCCCCAGUCCUGCACGCCCAGAACCCAGCCAACUGAGGGGUCACCCUUUAAGCAGCUGAGGAAAUCGUCAUCAGUCCUAAAUGUACAGUCCUCCAAGAAGAAGGGAGACGGCUCCAGUGCAUACACACCUGGAGAUCAGCCCAGCAGCCCUGCUCUCAGGUGUGUAUGUUGAAGAGAUGGGCGACAGCAGCACAGUGAAGAUGUACGGGGGGGCUGCUGGGGGUGGGAGACGAGCUGCUGGAGGUGAACUGUGAGAAGGUGGCCGGCCUCAGUCUGGACCUGGUGACACGCCUCUUGACCCAGGAGAACAUAGCCUCUGUCCGCGUGCUCCGACACAGGAGGCUCCCCCCUCCUCGCUACACAACCUGAGGACCGCCGGUCACCGUGGUGACACCAUGGCAACCGGCAAUGCCAUGGAAACCCACAAUGUAAUGGCAAUCAGACACCACAGCAACCACAAACACAAUGGAAAGCUGGGGUGUUUGGGGUAUGACAGAGGGGCAGUGAGUGAGACUGGCUCAAUGACUGUGAAUGUGUCUAUGGCCGCUUGCUUUGGUCAUAGUGACUUCUCUCAGAAAUGUUGCGUUAUUCUUCUGAAGACACGUCAAGAUGUUUGACACGAUUGGGUCAUUUUUCUAAGUGGUUCAGAUGGAGUUGCUAUUAGAGCAGAAGCUGUCUCACAUUUCCUCAUGUCCUGUUAUAUAUUUUUCCUAGAAUUGUUUGGCCUUAGGUGCUCCUUACUUUCACUGUUGAAAACAUAACCAGCAGUGCCAAAAUAAACAUUAUCAUUACAGGUAAUGCACAAAGCUAUCAGCUGCUCACACAGCAACAAUAGUCUGGUAGGAGAUUCUGUUAAAUACCUCACACGAAUCUCCUCCAUUCUAUGCAUCUUGACUGAGGUCAUCUUUAUGCAAUUAAAUCCUAUUUUUAUUGUGGUAAUUGGUUUAGUUAGAAACCAGACCUGGAAUUGAGAUAAUAAAUGUAUGGGUUAGAAACAGA